rnacentral:ncRNA from 2 species
UGUGCAUCAAGAGUGGUGGAGGGAUUCGGCCCUAUGAAACCACAGCAACCGCCCCGCGGGGAAAGGUGCUAAUUCCGACCUCCCAAGGGAGAAAGAUGUUUG